rnacentral:rRNA from 1 species
UACGGAGGGGGCUAGCGUUGUUCGGAAUUACUGGGCGUAAAGCGCACGUAGGCGGCUUUGUAAGUUAGAGGUGAAAGCCCGGAGCUCAACUCCGGAACUGCCUUUAAGACUGCAUCGCUUGAAUCCAGGAGAGGUGAGUGGAAUUCCGAGUGUAGAGGUGAAAUUCGUAGAUAUUCGGAAGAACACCAGUGGCGAAGGCGGCUCACUGGACUGGUAUUGACGCUGAGGAGCGAAAGCGUGGGGAGCAAACAGG